AUUCGGCAGGUUGUUUGCAGCAGCGUCACUUCCUGACAGCGGCUGCGCUCGGGAGAAAACUGAUAACGCGUUUGCUGUGGACUGAGUUGAUCUCUGCCUGUCCUGCGUCUCCGACGUCAUUGUCUCUCAUGACUUUCUCUCAAGUUCACGGGGAUAAACUCGCCCCUAAUCCGGUGUUGUAACAUUCCAUUCGCUGCCAGCGCAUUACACGCGGUUGAAAGAAAUAGUAAAUUAAAGCGCUCCGUUAUCCCUUCGCUGUCAUAAGACUGCGAUGAUUUAUGUAAGCUCUCGCCCCAGAACGUUGGCACCGUGAUUCCCAGCGAAGAGCAGUUACAGAACAGUCAGGUGGAAGAAUCUGUCGCUUUCAUCGGGUACCAAAGCGCUUUUUCUGCUCGGAGAGUCGGCCGAGCAAAGGUGAAGAAUGGGUUUGGAAAGAAGGGUCAAGGAGGGUCACAGCACUGCCCCUGAGACCUCUGGAGCUGACUUCCAGUACGACACUGAAGCCAUUGUAACUGUGGCCGCCUCUCCUGUCUUUACCCAUCUCUCCAUGGAGCAAUUCCGUCUCAAUACAGCAGGUGGCAGCAUUGUGUUAAUACAAAGGUCCAGAACUCACCAGUCAUGGCCUGUACUGUAUAAACCCAUUGCUUUACCACAGCGUAGUUCACAGCCAUAAGGUGUGAACUCAGACAUCCCAUAUAUAAAUAAAUAUUUACAGCCAUCAAAAUAAAUGUAAAAUGUAAAAAAAA